rnacentral:rRNA from 1 species
UACGAAGGGGGCUAGCGUUAUUCGGAAUUACUGGGCGUAAAGCGCACGUAGGCGGGUCGUUAAGUCAGGGGUGAAAUCCCAGAGCUCAACUCUGGAACUGCCUUUGAUACUGGCGACCUAGAGUCCGGAAGAGGUUAGUGGAAUUCCCAGUGUAGAGGUGAAAUUCGUAGAUAUUGGGAAGAACACCAGUGGCGAAGGCGGCUAACUGGUCCGGUACUGACGCUGAGGUGCGAAAGCGUGGGGAGCAAACAGG